rnacentral:rRNA from 1 species
CCUACGGGUGGCAGCAGUGGGGAAUAUUGCGCAAUGGGCGAAAGCCUGACGCAGCGACGCCGCGUGAGGGAUGAAGGCCCUCGGGUUGUAAACUUCUUUUAUCAAGGACGAAACAAAGGACGGUAAUGGAUGAAUAAGCCACGGCUAACGACGGGCCAGCAGCCGCGGUAAUCCGUAGGUGGCAAGGGUUAUCCGGAUUUACUGGGUGUAAAGGGCGUGGAGGCGGGACUGCAAGUCAGAUUUGAAAACCAUGGGCUCACCCCCGUGCCUGCAUUUGAAACUGUCGUUCUUGAGUGUUGGACAGUCAGGCGGAAUUCCGUGUGUAGCGGUGAAAUGCGUCGCUAUACGGAGGAACACCAGUGGCGCAGGCGGCCUGCUGGACAAUACCUGACGCUGCGGCGCGAGCGCGUGGGGAGCAAACAGGAUUAGAUACCCGGGUAGUC